UCUUUCUUCCCCCUGCCCAUGCUCCUGUUUCUUAUAUAUGACAUUAAGGAAGAAUCAUGGCAACACAUCUAAAACCUUCAAGUCUGGCCAUGGGAACACAGGAAGUAGAUAGUGUAGUACAGAUAUCAAAUGUGAAUAGAGAAAAGAAUUGUAUACUCCAUGUGGUCCUUUGCUUUAUUGAUGUUGGUAAUUUUUGAAUAACAUAAGGAUUUGGGAAUUUAUAAUUGAAGUAGGUACACCAUAUUUACACUGUUAUUCUCAGUCUAUAGAUGGGCCCACUUUGUUUCCAAAAUCAUAGCAGAGAAUGGAAUUUGAAAACAGAAUUUUUGAGUACAUAUUCAGGAAUAUUUAUAAUGUCCCCUAUGAAGGAAUGUACAAUAGGAAAGUGAAAUACAAUAUUCAUUCAACGAAAGGUGUGUAGGUAAAGUACUGGCCUUUAUAAAAUUAAGAAAACCUAGAAAAUUGAACUGUAUGUCACAGGAAUUGACCUGGGAAUAAAAAUAUUAUCCAGAAGAAUCUCCUCCACUCCAAGUUCCUAAAUAAUUUCUAUCCAUGCCAUGCCCCUGACUCAUUUUCUCCAUUCAGAAGUCACUAGCUUUAGAGAGAUGGAGAACGAAAGUUUCCACUGUGUCACAGGAGACAUACCUAAAUUGGCACCCUCAAAACUGGUUAAUGUAAGGAAAGCUGUUUAGAGUCAGGCCAUGGCAGUUCUCAGUGACAAUAUCAUUAGGCUCUCCCUGAAAAAUCUCUUGUAUCCUUGAGAGCACUAGCUUCUUCUGUGAUGUAAUAAGUGUUGUCCUGACUGCAAAUGCCUCUCAGAUAUUACUUCAGUACCUAUAGGUUUUACUAAUUGGCCUCAAAUUCAGGGGAAACAGUCAUUAGGGAGGGAGAACAAAGACGAUGAAGAAAUCAGAGAUGGGGAGAACGAAGCUGGUCUUCUGUCUUGGUAUAAAAGAAGGAAGAAAUACAUCAUCCCUGAGAAAUCUCACUGAAGCCUUGGUAGGAGUGGAAUAUGAAAAAUAGUCCUGAGGAAGGAGGGACAACAAGUAUUGUAUCGUCAUGUCAUCUCAAGAAAAACUCUCAAAACUCAUCCUGGCUGACAAUGUAGAUUAGACGCAUCAGAUGAAAUGAAUUGAAAAACUCUCCUGGGAAUGAAAGUGGUAAGGAAAUCACAUUGAUGUAUCCUAAAUGCAGUGCUAAGAGCAAUAUUCAGACUAGUCUGUGGAGAUGCUGCUGUCAUCAGAGACCACAGACAAUUAGUGGAGAAUGAUUCAGCAUUAAACUGGGAAUGGAAGAUGAUGGUUGAUAUUGUUCUAGUAGAUCUCACUACAUUAAAAAGUGUUUCUUCCAGAUAACUGAAUGAUUAUUGUAAAGCAAAUCCCGGAAUGAACUUAUGAGACCCACCAUCAGCCUGUCAAAUAAUGUGCGAAAGAAGAAAUCUGUGUCUCUCCAGGGACAAAUUGUUGCUUUCAAACCAACAGUAAAGUGUCCAUUCUAUGAAU